rnacentral:lncRNA from 13 species
CAGUUCAUUCCCUUCUGUUUUUCUAACAGAUGUUGUGGUCUACCGUCUACCCUUUAAUAUUGUCCAUGAUAUCGGGAUCAAGAAAAAGAGUUGCUUCAGGAAAAUUUGAACUGGAUAAACAAGAUGCAAGUCACUGGCACGAGAAUCCCAACGCAGAGGCAGUAGUCACAGUUUCCGUCUCACGGAAACGCUUCCCAUUUCCUGUAGUGACAGCAGUACUCCUCUGGAUAUCAGGACCUCUGAAUUCUAUAAAACCUAAAGGUACAGGGACCAGAAGCACAGAUUCUUCCCUCAACAGACAAGGUCAAGUCUACCCACAUUGGUGAGGAUGAUCUUUACUCAGUCUACCAGUUCAAAUGUGAAUGUCUUCUG